rnacentral:lncRNA from 1 species
UUUUUUUUUUUUGUCUUUUUGCCUUUUCUAGGGCCGCUCCCACAGCAUGUGGAGGUUCCCAGGCUAGGGUCUAAUCCGAGGUAGCUACCAGCCUACACCACAGCCACAGCAAUGUGGGAUCCGAGCCGCGUCUUCAACCUACACCCAGCUCAUGGCAACGCGGGAUCCAUAACCCACUGAGCAAGUCCAGGGAUUAAACCCGCAACUUCAUGGUUCCUAGGUGGGUUUGCUAACCACUGAGCCACAACGGGAACUCCACAUGUAUCUCUUACUCUGUGCCUUUACCCUUGUUGUUUCCUGCGUUUGGCAUGACCUUCCCGCUUUAGCUCCUCACCUGGCUAACUUCAACUCCAGUAGCCUUACCUACCUCUGGGCAUCCCUAUGCACUGUUUACUUCUCUCAUUUCCCACUAGAGGGUGGACUCCUAGAGGACAGGAUCUCAAGAUGGAUUUUGUUCAAGAUGAAAUCUCCAAUGUAAGAGUAUUAGUUCCCCCAGGCUGCUGUAACAAAUUCCCACAACCUUGAUGACGUAUAAAAAAUUUAUUCUCCUUGGAGUUCCUGUCGUGGCGCAGUGGUUAAUGAGUCUGACUAGGAACCAUGAGGUUGUGGGUUUGGUCCCUGCCCUUGCUCAGUGGGUUAACAAUCCGGCGUUGCCAUGAGCUGUGGUGUAGGUUGCAGACGCGGCUCGGGUCCCGAGUUGCUGUGGCUCUGGCGUAGGCCGGUGGCUACAGCUCUGAUUCAACUCCUAGCCUGGGAACCUCCAUAUGCCGCGGGAGCGGCCCAAGAAAUAGCAAAAAAGACAACAACAACAAAAAUUUAUUCUCCACAUUUCUGGAGGCCAGAAGUUCAACAUCAGCUUCCCUGGGCCAAAAUCAAGGUGUUGGCAGAACUGUGCUCUUUCUGGAGGCUCUAAGGGAGAACUGUUUAGUUCUAGUGGCUGCUGGCAUUCCCUUGCUCGUGGCUGCAUCGCUCCAAUUUCUGCCUCUGUCUCCACAUCACGUUCUACUCUUCUCUGUGUGUAUAAUCUCCCCUGCCUCUCCUUAUAAUGACACUUGUGGCAUUUGGAGCCCACCCAGAUGAUGCAGGAUAAUGUAUCUCAAGAUUUUUUUUUUUGGAGGAGUUCCCGUUGUGGCACAGUGGAAACGAAUCUGACUAGGAACCAUGAGGUUGCAGGUUCAAUCCCUGGCCUCCAUCAAUGGGCUAAGGAUCCAGCGUUGCCAUGACCUGUGGUGUAGGUUGCAGAUGCAGCUCAGAUCUGGUGUUGCUGUGGCUGUGCCUGUGGCUGGCAGCUACAGCUCCGAUUNNNNNNNNNNNNNNNNNNNNNNNNNNNNNNNNNNNNNNNNNNNNNNNNNNNNNNNNNNNNNNNNNNNNNNNNUUUUUUUUUUUUUUUUUGCUGUACCCACGGCAUGUGGAAGUUCCCGGCACUUCCACAUGCAGGAUUGGAUCUACGCUACAGCAGCAACCCGAUCCAUUGCAGUGACAAUGCUGGAUCCUUAGCCUGCUAUGCCACAAGGGAACUCCUCAAGAUUCUUAAAUUAAUCAUAUCUGCAAAAGACCCCUUUCCCAGAUAAGGUAACAUUCACAGGUUCCACAGAUUAGGAUGUGGACAUAUCUUUAGAUUACUAAAAUAAGCAAAGGCAUUUUUUUUUUUUCUGGAAGUUCCCAGGCUAGGGGGGUGCCGCCCUAAAAAGACAAAACAAAAACAAAAUCCAAAACCAGACGAGGGAGUUUCUGUUGUGGCUCAGCGAGUUACAAACCCGACUAGUAUCCAUGAAGAUGGGGGUUUGAUUCCUGGCCUCUCAGUGGGUUAAGGAUCCAGCGUUUCUGUGAGCUGCAGUGUAGUUCACAGAUUUGGCCCAGAUCCCAUGUUGCUGUGGCUGUGUUGGCCAGAUGCUGCAGCUCUGAUUUGACCCCUAGCUUGGGAACUUCCAUAUGCUGUGGGUGUGGCCCUAAAAAAGCAAAAAAACCCCACAAAACUAUGAUCUUGACUCCAAAGCCAGCAUGAUUUUUGCCUCACCAACAGCCUCAUAGCCCAUCCCAGGCCCUGGCCCAAAUUUCUUACCUGAAUGGAUAUGCAGAAAGGGAAAGGUAGGUGGACAAGACAGGAACAUGAGGCCCAGCCUUCCUAAUGAUGUUGACUCAGGUUUUCUUUUGUCAAAGUCCCCUUACCACCUCUUUAAUCCUCCCCCAUCACCCCUGACCCCUCGUUUCAGAAGUCUGGAAUCUCCCCCAGCUUCAGCCCCAUGCCAACUACUGCUGCCCAGAGGGGUGGCACAGUGCCUGGACUUUAGGCAGGAGAUAUCAAAUCACAGAACCAGAGGGACCUGUGGAGGUCACCUCUUAGUUCUCUGCCCAUGUAUUGGCCUGCGCAUGAGGACAGGGCAGACAGGGUCAUAGCAGUGGGCAGCAGAAAGGAAAAGUGGCCAUCUCAUACUUCAGGUAUCCUUUCUCUGCACUUCUCACACUAUUUGUGUUGGGAAGUCCUCACUCAAGUCUAACCUUCCAGGCAUCAUGCUGUAAUGAAAGUUGGCCAUGGUAAGCAGUCCUGUGAAUUAGCCCUAGAUUGUCCAAAAUAUAAAAUGAGACUUUGGCUAAGUCCCCUCACCUCUAUGGGCCUCUAAUUCGUCAUCUUGAAAAUGAGAUCGAUAAAGAUAAUCAUACCAUCUCACAGGGCUGUUGGGGGUGGGGGAAUAAUAUCAGGAAAGAAGCAUCUAACCCAUAGCCUGGAGCAAGGCAGGUGCUGUGAGAAUAUUUUGUAACAGUCCCUCAGCCCUCCAGCCGAAGCCCUUCAUCCUGGGUAACACAGGGCUUUGCUCACCUCAGCCAGUCUGGUCUGCCUUGCGCGCUAGACUGUGAACUCCUCUUGGCAGGACUUCGUUCAGUUUUUAAUCACUGCCCAUUCCCCUCCCCAGUGUCUAGCCCGUGCUUGGGCGCGUAGACUCAAUCUGCAUUUGAUAAAUAAACGAGUGAGGGUAUGAGUCGGAUCCCCAAAUCCCCAAAAGCACAGAGCGUAAUUCCUACAGCCAAGGGCACGACCCUUUCCCCUGGGGUCCAGGAGGCGGCGGCGGCGGCGGCGAGGAAGGAGGCGCUGCAGCUUUAAGAUUUCUCUCGGGCGUCCCGGUUGCCAAG